ACGGGAGGCAGCAGUGGGGAAUAUUGGACAAUGGGGGAAACCCUGAUCCAGCGACGCCGCGUGAGUGAAGAAGUAUUUCGGUAUGUAAAGCUCUAUCAGCAGGGAAGAUAAUGACGGUACCUGACUAAGAAGCCCCGGCUAACUACGUGCCAGCAGCCGCGGUAAUACGUAGGGGGCAAGCGUUAUCCGGAUUUAUUGGGUUUAAAGGGUGCGCAGGCGGCCUGUUAAGUCAGCGGUUAAAUCGUGGAGCUCAACUCCAUCGCGCCGUUGAUACUGAUGGGCUUGAUUGCGGUUGAGGUUGGCGGAAUUCGCCGUGUAGCGGUGAAAUGCAUAGAUAUGGCGAAGAACUCCGAUUGCGUAGGCAGCUGACCAAGCCGCGAAUGACGCUCAUGCACGAAAGUGCGGGGAUCGAACAGGAUUAGAUACCCUGGUA
rnacentral:rRNA from 1 species